rnacentral:rRNA from 1 species
UACGUAGGUGGCAAGCGUUGUCCGGAUUUACUGGGCGUAAAGAGCGCGCAGGCGGUCGUGCAAGUCGCGUGUGAAAGCCCCCGGCUCAACUGGGGAGGGUCACGCGAUACUGUUCGACUCGAAGGCAGGAGAGGGAAGCGGAAUUCCCGGUGUAGUGGUGAAAUGCGUAGAUAUCAAGCGGAACACCGGUGGCGAAGGCGGCCUUCUGGACAGUGACUGACGCUGAGACGCGAAAGCGUGGGGAGCAAACAGG